rnacentral:rRNA from 1 species
CCUACGGGUGGCUGCAGUGGGGAAUAUUGCACAAUGGGCGCAAGCCUGAUGCAGCCAUGCCGCGUGUAUGAAGAAGGCCUUCGGGUUGUAAAGUACUUUCAGCGAGGAGGCGUUACUCGCAGAAGAAGCACCGGCUAACUCCGUGCCAGCAGCCCGGUAAUACGGAGGGUGCAAGCGUUAAUCGGAAUUACGGGCGUAAAGCGCACGCAGGCGGUCUGUAAGUCGGAUGUGAAAUCCCCGGGCUCAACCUGGGAACUGCAUUCGAAACUGCAGGCUAGAGUCUUGUAGAGGGGGGUAGAAUUCCAGGUGUAGCGGUGAAAUGCGUAGAGAUCUGGAGGAAUACCGGUGGCGAAGGCGGCCCCCUGGACAAAACUGACGCUCAGGUGCGAAAGCGUGGGGAGCAAACAGGAUUAGAUACCCCAGUAGUC